GGGAUUAGCUAGUUGGUGAGGUAAUGGCUCACCAAGGCGACGAUCCCUAGCUGGUCUGAGAGGAUGAUCAGCCACACUGGGACUGAGACACGGCCCAGACUCCUACGGGAGGCAGCAGUGGGGAAUAUUGCACAAUGGGCGCAAGCCUGAUGCAGCCAUGCCGCGUGUAUGAAGAAGGCCUUCGGGUUGUAAAGUACUUUCAGUCGUGAGGAAGGGUGUGUGCUUAAUACGUACAUAUCUUGACGUUAGCGACAGAAGAAGCACCGGCUAACUCCGUGCCAGCAGCCGCGGUAAUACGGAGGGUGCGAGCGUUAAUCGGAAUUACUGGGCGUAAAGCGCAUGCAGGUGGUUUGUUAAGUCAGAUGUGAAAGCCCGGGGCUCAACCUCGGAAGGUCAUUUGAAACUGGCAAACUAGAGUACUGUAGAGGGGGGUAGAAUUUCAGGUGUAGCGGUGAAAUGCGUAGAGAUCUGAAGGAAUACCGGUGGCGAAGGCGGCCCCCUGGACAGAUACUGACACUCAGAUGCGAAAGCGUGGGUAGCAAACAGGAUUAGAUACCCUGGUAGUCCACGCCGUAAACGAUGUCUACUUGGAGGUUGUUCCCUAGAGGAGUGGCUUUCGGAGCUAACGCGUUAAGUAGACCGCCUGGGGAGUACGGUCGCAAGAUUAAAACUCAAAUGAAUUGACGGGGGCCCGCACAAGCGGUGGAGCAUGUGGUUUAAUUCGAUGCAACGCG
rnacentral:rRNA from 1 species